GAUGAACGCUGGCGGCGUGCCUAAUACAUGCAAGUCGAGCGAACGGACGAGGAGCUUGCUUCUCUGAUGUUAGCGGCGGACGGGUGAGUAACACGUGGAUAACCUACCUAUAAGACUGGGAUAACUUCGGGAAACCGGAGCUAAUACCGGAUAAUAUUUUGAACCGCAUGGUUCAAAAGUGAAAGACGGUCUUGCUGUCACUUAUAGAUGGAUCCGCGCUGCAUUAGCUAGUUGGUAAGGUAACGGCUUACCAAGGCAACGAUGCAUAGCCGACCUGAGAGGGUGAUCGGCCACACUGGAACUGAGACACGGUCCAGACUCCUACGGGAGGCAGCAGUAGGGAAUCUUCCGCAAUGGGCGAAAGCCUGACGGAGCAACGCCGCGUGAGUGAUGAAGGUCUUCGGAUCGUAAAACUCUGUUAUUAGGGAAGAACAUAUGUGUAAGUAACUGUGCACAUCUUGACGGUACCUAAUCAGAAAGCCACGGCUAACUACGUA
rnacentral:rRNA from 1 species